GCUGAGAUAGCUGAGUUGUUAAGAGCAUGAGCCUCUUAAUCACAGGGUCGCGGGUUCGAGUCCUGCAUUGGGCA